GAUGAACGCUGGCGGCGUGCUUAACACAUGCAAGUCGAACGGGCUCAUAUUGGAACCUAGUGAUGUAUGAGUUAGUGGCGGACGGGUGAGUAACGCGUGGAGAACCUGCCGUAUACUGGGGGAUAACACUUAGAAAUAGGUGCUAAUACCGCAUAAGCGCACAGCUUCGCAUGAAGCAGUGUGAAAAACUCCGGUGGUAUACGAUGGACCCGCGUCUGAUUAGCUUGUUGGCGGGGUAGAGGCCCACCAAGGCGACGAUCAGUAGCCGACCUGAGAGGGUGAUCGGCCACAUUGGAACUGAGACACGGUCCAAACUCCUACGGGAGGCAGCAGUGGGGAAUAUUGGGCAAUGGAGGCAACUCUGACCCAGCAACGCCGCGUGAGCGAUGAAGGUCUUCGGAUUGUAAAGCUCUUUAAGUGGGGACGAAGAAAGUGACUGUACCCACAGAAUAAGCCUCGGCUAACUACGUGCCAGCAGCCGCGGUAAUACGUAGGAGGCAAGCGUUAUCCGGAUUUACUGGGUGUAAAGGGAGCGUAGACGGCAGCGCAAGUCUGAAGUGAAAUCCCAUGGCUUAACCAUGGAACUGCUUUGGAAACUGUGCAGCUGGAGUGCAGGAGAGGUAAGCGGAAUUCCUAGUGUAGCGGUGAAAUGCGUAGAUAUUAGGAAGAACACCGGUGGCGAAGGCGACUUUCUGGACUGUAACUGACGUUGAGGCACGAAAGUGUGGGGAGCAAACAGGAUUAGAUACCCUGGUAGUCCACACUGUAAACGAUGGAUACUAGGUGUAGGAGGUAUUAAGCCUUCUGUGCCGUCGCUAACGCAGUAAGUAUCCCACCUGGGGAGUACGACCGCAAGGUUGAAACUCAAAGGAAUUGACGGGGGCCCGCACAAGCAGUGGAGUAUGUGGUUUAAUUCGAAGCAACGCGAAGAACCUUACCAGGGCUUGACAUACAAGUGAAUGACUAAGAGAUUAGUCAGUAUUUCGGUACACUUGUACAGGUGGUGCAUGGUUGUCGUCAGCUCGUGUCGUGAGAUGUUAGGUUAAGUCCUGCAACGAGCGCAACCCUUAUACUUAGUUGCCAGCACGUGAAGGUGGGCACUCUGGCGGGACAGCCUGGGAUAACCAGGAGGAAGGCGGGGACGACGUCAAAUCAUCAUGCCCCUUAUGGCCGGGGCUACACACGUGCUACAAUGGCGUAAACAGAGGGAAGCGAGAUAGCGAUAUUAAGCGAAGCCCAAAAAUAACGCCUCAGUUCGGAUUGCAGCCUGCAACUCGGCUGCAUGAAGCCGGAAUCGCUAGUAAUCGCGGAUCAGAAUGCCGCGGUGAAUACGUUCCCGGGUCUUGUACACACCGCCCGUCACACCAUGGGAGUCGGGAAUGCCCGAAGUCGGUGAGCUAACGAAAGAGGCAGCCGCCGAAGGCAGGCCUGGUAACUGGGGUG
rnacentral:rRNA from 1 species